ACGGGGAGCAGCAGGCGCGAAAACUUUACAAUGCGGGCAACCAUGAUAAGGGAACCUCGAGUGCCUGUAUAGGCACGCUGUCCAGGAGUCUAAUAACACA
rnacentral:rRNA from 1 species